rnacentral:rRNA from 1 species
UGGGGAAUAUUGCACAAUGGGCGCAAGCCUGAUGCAGCCAUGCCGCGUGUAUGAAGAAGGCCUUCGGGUUGUAAAGUACUUUCAGCGGGGAGGAAGGGAGUAAAGUUAAUACCUUUACUCAUUGACGUUACCCGCAGAAGAAGCACCGGCUAACUCCGUGCCAGCAGCCGCGGUAAUACGGAGGGUGCAAGCGUUAAUCGGAAUUACUGGGCGUAAAGCGCACGCCGGCGGUUUGUUAAGUCAGAUGUGAAAUCCCCGGGCUCAACCUGGGAACUGCAUUCGAAACUGGCAGGCUAGAGUCUUGUAGAGGGGGGUAGAAUUCCAGGUGUAGCGGUGAAAUGCGUAGAGAUCUGGAGGAAUACCGGUGGCGAAGGCGGCCCCCUGGACGAAGACUGACGCUCAGGUGCGAAAGCGUGGGGAGCAAACAGG